UCUGUCGAUAGCUCAGUUGGCAGAGCGGUGGACUAUAUAUCCAUAGUUCGACUCGGUUUGACAGAA